ensembl:lncRNA LINC01359 long intergenic non-protein coding RNA 1359
GGAAAGAGGCCACAGAGGAAACCAACCCUGCCAGCAUCUUGAUCUUGGACUUCCAGCUUCCAGAACUAACCAGGGACCCCACUCCCAUGCCGACAGUAUGGGCUGCUGUCUUCAGGACCAUUGCAAGGCUGCAGGAAGACUUAGAGGCAUCAUCCUGCCUUGGCUUCUGGUUGCCAAGGUGUUCUGCCUGAUACCAACUUUGUCAGCAGUCACCAACUAGCCAUGCUUUUCCCUUGAAGGCACAUGUAGAUUGCCUAACCAUCCACACCAGGCAAACAAUUCUUCAAAUGUCAUGCCCUUUGCACUUCUGUUCAGAUCCAGCCUUAGAGAAGCUUGUGAAGCAAUGACUGUUUUAAUUGGUCUCCUGGGUACCCAGGCCUAAUCCUUUACCAAGUCACUAGUUAUCCCAUGUUCCUUAUCUGUCUGUCUAUCCAUCUAUCCUUCCAUCCUCAUCCAAUACUUACAGAAUGCCUAUGGCUGCAAAUACAAGGAUGACUGCUUGGUUCCUGCUGUCCAUAAACUCACAGCCUGGGAUAAGUGUCCUUCACGGUUCGGUUCACAUUUCACAAGCCCCAUGAAGUCUAUCUGGAUUUUCGGAAGAGUGGCCACCCCUGCCAAGGGCCUAGUAUAGUACCCUAUACAUGUAGCUGAUCAGUUGAUUGUUACUGAUCAUAUGUAUCCUGCAUCAUGUUAUAAAAAAUUAACACAGUGCUUGGCA